GGGGGAUAUUGCACAAUGGGGGAAACCCUGAUGCAGCGACGCCGCGUGGAGGAAGAAGGUUUUCGGAUUGUAAACUCUUGUCGUUAGGGACGAUAAUGACGGUACCUAACAAGAAAGCACCGGCUAACUACGUGCCAGCAGCCGCGGUAAAACGUAGGGUGCAAGCGUUGUCCGGAAUUACUGGGUGUAAAGGGAGCGCAGGCGGACCGGCAAGUUGGAAGUGAAAACUAUGGGCUCAACCCAUAAAUUGCUUUCAAAACUGCUGGCCUUGAGUAGUGCAGAGGUAGGUGGAAUUCCCGGUGUAGCGGUGGAAUGCGUAGAUAUCGGGAGGAACACCAGUGGCGAAGGCGACCUACUGGGCACCAACUGACGCUGAGGCUCGAAAGCAUGGGUAGCAAACAGGAUUAGAUACCCUGGUAGUCCAUGCCGUAAACGAUGAUUACUAGGUGUUGGAGGAUUGACCCCUUCAGUGCCGCAGUUAACACAAUAAGUAAUCCACCUGGGGAGUACGACCGCAAGGUUGAAACUCAAAGGAAUUGACGGGGGCCCGCACAAGCAGUGGAGUAUGUGGUUUAAUUCGAAGCAACGCGAAGAACCUUACCAGGUCUUGACAUCCGAUGCAUAGCUUAGAGAUAAGUGAAGUCCUUCGGGACAUCGAGACAGGUGGUGCAUGGUUGUCGUCAGCUCGUGUCGUGAGAUGUUGGGUUAAGUCCCGCAACGAGCGCAACCCUUAUUGCCAGUUACUACGCAAGAGGACUCUGGCGAGACUGCCGUUGACAAAACGGAGGAAGGUGGGGAUGACGUCAAAUCAUCAUGCCCUUUAUGACCUGGGCUACACACGUACUACAAUGGCGUUUAACAAAGAGAAGCAAGACCGCGAGGUGGAGCAAAACUCAAAAACAACGUCUCAGUUCAGAUUGCAGGCUGCAACUCGCCUGCAUGAAGUCGGAAUUGCUAGUAAUCGCGGAUCAGCAUGCCGCGGUGAAUACGUUCCCG
rnacentral:rRNA from 2 species